GUUAAACUAAAACAGCCUGUUGACGGCUUAAAAUAAACCUGCCUUCUCCCACUUAGCAUUUUAUCAAAUGAAUGUAAUUUUGUUUGCUGAUGAAUUUAGUUCGGCUUCAAGGAGAUUUUUUUCCCUUCUUCCUGGGGAGGCUGGAGAAUCAGAAUUGCCCUGCCAGAGGAUGAAAAACAAGCCUAGGGAGAAAAGACGGGCUGAUUCUUGAAGCCUGAUUAUAAAACUUGGGAUUUGGUGCCUAUGUGAGCUUCUACCCGGUUAGAAGAUCUGUUUGCGGCGGCUGCGACACUGCUCCUGGGGUUUUACACGUCCACUGCUGCUUACACUGUUUUGCACUCACACGUUCCCAUAAGCCACAGAAGAGUUGACGAUAGAAAAACCUCUUUCUAUUUCCUUUCAUGGCUCAAGUCCUCCCGCUGUGCCAUGCCCUUCCUUAUCACCUUGCAUUCCGGUCACGUGUUUGGUGUUUAUUUAUUUUUUUCUCAGUAUAAUGUCAGCUGUCUGGAUCCUUUGUGGUUUCAUAGGACUUACAGCAUUGUUUUUCUAUUGUGAAAGCCAUUUUUACUAACCUGUUUGCUUCAUUUUAGUAUCACUUACGUGUCUGCCUGUGUGUGACGAUGCCUACGCUCUUAACUGCAGCGCCAUCACGCCAGCCCCAGCACAUUAUAUUUUUGGUGGAAAUUGUAUUGAUUCUCUGUAUCUCUUUGAGUAGAAUGGUCAUUUUAACAACACAGUUAAGAUUUUAUUGUAUUAUUUUUAGUUUAUAUGUGUGAGAGAGCCCGAGUACAUGCAUAUAUACCACAUAGGUUCCCACGGAGACCAGAAAAAGGGUGGCAAGUUGUUUGAAACUAAAGUUAACAGUGGUUGUGAGCUGUCUGAGGCUGGUGCCAGGAACCAAAUCUGGGCCCUCUUCAAGAACAGCAAAUGCACAGUAAAUGCUGAACGAUCUCUCCAGCCUUGCUUAAAAACAUGUAUUCUGAUCUACCAACACCUACCAUGCUUGCGUUUCUACAUCCUCCAUAAUUUCCUUAAUCUGGGUUCCACAAUUUUCACGGUGCAUGUUUUACUGCCUUGUUUACUGCUAAUCUUAUAGCUAUUGAGAGUGGGGCUGUUUGCUUAAUUUCUUUUUGAGUAAUUUUUACAAUUAGUGUUGCAGGUAAUUUUAAAAACACCCUCGCUCCAGCUAGGCUCUGCCUGCCAACUGACUAAAGCUUUCCCAUAAACUCUGGAGGAGCUGCGAUCUCUCUACACCAACCAAGCACCCCGUGACUGGCUUCACCAACCACCAACAACUGCCCCACAGCUGCGCCCUCUCUCUUGCCCACCUGAGUCAUCAUGAAUGGAAAGCACCAGACAGUCUCAAUAUUUUAAAAUCAGCCAGAUGACACAACUGCUGGGCUCGGAACCUAUUGUCCUAAACUAAUUGGCUAGUCUAUAUUAGAAUUCAUCCGGUGGAGGAGGCUGCCCCAGAUUCUAAUAGACCCCAGGUCUACAUGGUGUCUAUGCUUCUCCCUCCACAACCUGGCCCCAAAGUCCUUUUUCUGUCUUGUCACCUCCUCUUCCUCUUGGGACCUGGAAAAUCCGCCUCUAUAUUUCCUCCCAGAAAUUGGCUUCCCCUGUCUUUAUUGACAUAGUCAAGAAACAAUUGGGCAACCAGAGUUUAGUUAUCAGCUCCUCCCCCUACGAAAUGCCACCGAUUUUUUGGUAUGUCAACUUUGUAUUUUGUCCAAAGUUUGGAUUCUUCUAAGUGCAGAGAUUUUUCAUCUACCAACAUAGACAAUUAAUGUCUUCUUUUUCCAAUUUAGGAUCGCUGUAUUUUUUCUCUUCUUCUGCUGUUUCUCCUAAGACUUCCAGUUCUCUAUUAAACAGGAGUAGUGAAAAUGGACAUCCCAACCUUGUUUCUAAUUUAGGGAAAAGCUGAGAUCACAUACCAUUAAGGAGGAGAGUGGCUUUUGUUUUAAAUAUACAACUUUCAUAUCUUGAGGUGUAUUCCUUGUAUGCCUAAGCUGUAGAGAAAUUCUUAUCCUGAAAGGAACUCCAAUUCAGCACAUGUUUUUUGGUAUUUGUUGAUAGGAUUAUAAGUUUGUGCUUGAUUUCUUUGAUAUCUCAUGUCUUUGCUUGGUUGGUGCUAAGCCAUCCUAUAUCCCUGGUUAAGUCUUGUCAACUACACACAAACCUAAACAUAUCUGGGAAUUUUCUAUUGAGAAAAUAGGGCAGUCAUUGGUCUCAGGGAACUGGAUUUUGAACUUCAAAAAGCUUAAUGAACUUCAAUUACAAUCAAUUUAUUUGCAUCCAUUUUAUCCUUCUUUAAGUUUUGACUCUCAUGAUCUUUUCAAGACAUGCCUCAACUUUCUGGUUCUGCCCUCACCUAUCUGUAUUAUCAAUCCUUUGCAUAAAGGGUGACCUCUUCGUGUAAAAACAUUCAUCUAAAAGCAUUACCCUUUUCUUCAAUCCUUUUUAAAACAUACAUCACAGAUGUAUUUAUAUCUCUUUAUCUUAACAGUUCUUUCUGUCUUAGUUUUCCUUAGAAAAAUCAGAAAAUGCUCUUUUCUGUAUAAAGCAACUAUAUCUUAAAUGAACCCCAAGACACUGCCUGUGAAACACAGAAAACAAUGUAUAUGGCACCUUAAAUAUCAAACAACUAUCAAUACAGGCAAAACAUGUUAAUGGUUCUGACUUUCUUAACAAAUGUGCUAGCUGUUUGCCCAAGAGUCUUCUAAUAAUAUACAUGGGGAAUUGUUUUAUUUUUAAUUAAUAUCUCAUUUAGGUUCACAAGCCAACCAAACAAAGGAUGAAAACCAGGCACUUCUACUUUGUUUAACCUUGUGAGUCACCCACUUGUCUCUGCCGUAGCGUGCUGGCUGUUAGCAGCUCUUUGCCUACAUUAUGUUGUCUUUCUUUAAAGCUAUGAAAGCACAGAGAUGAGCUGUUCCCCCAGAUGCAUUGUAAGAGAUAAAUUACAGUGAUACUCUAAUGAAACAUGCUUUGCCAGCCUCUUUGUGCGCCUUUAAACCAGUACACAGAAAAGGACAUUUGUUGUCCUCUUUAACUCCAAAUUUUUAAGAGUUGAAUAUGUUUU
rnacentral:sRNA from 1 species